CAGCAGCCGCGGGAAUACAGAGGGUGCAAGCGUUAAUCGGAUUUACUGGGCGUAAAGGGCGCGUAGGUGGUUAUUUAAGUGAGAUGUGAAAGCCCCGGGCUUAACCUGGGAACUGCAUCUUAUACUGGGUAACUGGAGUGCAGUAGAGGGUAGUGGAAUUUCCGGUGUAGCGGUGAAAUGCGUAGAUAUCGGAAGGAACACCAGUGGCGAAGGCGGCUACCUGGACUGAGACUGACACUGAGGCGCGAGAGCGUGGGGAGCAAACAGGAUUAGAUACCCGCGUAGUCCCUGUCUCUUAUAC
rnacentral:rRNA from 1 species